rnacentral:rRNA from 1 species
UGGGGAAUUUUGGACAAUGGGCGAAAGCCUGAUCCAGCAAUGCCGCGUGUGUGAAGAAGGCCUUCGGGUUGUAAAGCACUUUUGUCCGGAAAGAAAUCCUUGGCUCUAAUACAGUCGGGGGAUGACGGUACCGGAAGAAUAAGCACCGGCUAACUACGUGCCAGCAGCCGCGGUAAUACGUAGGGUGCAAGCGUUAAUCGGAAUUACUGGGCGUAAAGCGUGCGCAGGCGGUUUGCUAAGACCGAUGUGAAAUCCCCGGGCUCAACCUGGGAACUGCAUUGGUGACUGGCAGGCUAGAGUAUGGCAGAGGGGGGUAGAAUUCCACGUGUAGCAGUGAAAUGCGUAGAGAUGUGGAGGAAUACCGAUGGCGAAGGCAGCCCCCUGGGCCAAUACUGACGCUCAUGCACGAAAGCGUGGGGAGCAAACAGGAUUAGAUACCCUGGUAGUCCACGCCCUAAACGAUGUCAACUAGUUGUUGGGGAUUCAUUUCCUUAGUAACGUAGCUAACGCGUGAAGUUGACCGCCUGGGGAGUACGUCGCAAGAUUAAAACUCAAAGGAAUUGACGGGGUCAUAGCUGUUUCCU